rnacentral:rRNA from 1 species
ACGCUGGCGGCGUGCUUCAUACAUGCAAGUCGAACGAGAAUUCACCUUCGGGUGGAAGAAAGUGGCGGACGGGUGAGUAAUGUGUAGAGAAUCUGCCCUAGAGUGGGGGACAACAGCUGGAAACGGCUGCUAAUACCGCAUAUGCGCGUAGCUGAGAUGCUAUUCGUGAAAACUCCGGUGCUCUGGGAUGAGUCUGCAUCUGAUUAGCUAGUUGGGGGUGUAAUGGACCACCAAGGCGACGAUCAGUAGCUGGUUUGAGAGGAUGAUCAGCCACAAUGGGACUGAGACACGGCCCAAACUCCUACGGGAGGCAGCAGUGGGGAAUAUUGGGCAAUGGGGGGAAACCCCCUGACCCAGCAACGCCGCGUGAGGGAAGAAGGUUUUCGGAUCGUAAACCUCUGUCCUUGGUGAAGAGUUUGAGACGGUAGCCAAGGAGGAAGCCCCGGCUAACUACGUGCCAGCCGCAGC